UACAGAGGUCCCAAGCGUUGUUCGGAUUCAUUGGGCGUAAAGGGUGCGUAGGUGGUUGUGCAAGUCUGAUGUGAAAUCUCCGGGCUUAACCCGGAAAUGGCAUUGGAAACUGCAUGGCUAGAGGGUUGGAGGGGGGACUGGAAUACUUGGUGUAGCAGUGAAAUGCGUAGAUAUCAAGUGGAACACCAGUGGCGAAGGCGAGUCCCUGGACAACUCCUGACACUGAGGCACGAAAGCUAGGGGAGCAAACAGG
rnacentral:rRNA from 1 species